rnacentral:rRNA from 1 species
UACAGAGGGUGCAAGCGUUGUUCGGAAUUAUUGGGCGUAAAGGGCGUGUAGGCGGUCUGCUAAGUCAUGUGUGAAAUCCCUCGGCUUAACCGAGGAACGACGCAUGAAACUGGCAAGCUAGAGUACCAAAGAGGGGGGUGGAAUUCCAGGUGUAGCGGUGAAAUGCGUAGAUAUCUGGAGGAACACCGGUGGCGAAGGCGACAUCCUGGACCGGUAUUGACGCUGAGGCGCGAAAGCCAGGGGAGCAAACGGG